AUUGAACGCUAGCGGGAUGCCUUACACAUGCAAGUCGAACGGCAGCGCGGACUUCGGUCUGGCGGCGAGUGGCGAACGGGUGAGUAAUGUAUCGGAACGUGCCCAGUAGCGGGGGAUAACUACUCGAAAGAGUAGCUAAUACCACAUACGCCCUACGGGGGAAAGGGGGGGAUCGCAAGACCUCUCACUAUUGGAGCGGCCGAUAUCGGAUUAGCUAGUUGGUGAGGUAAAGGCUCACCAAGGCGACGAUCCGUAGCUGGUUUGAGAGGACGACCAGCCACACUGGGACUGAGACACGGCCCAGACUCCUACGGGAGGCAGCAGUGGGGAAUUUUGGACAAUGGGGAAACCCUGAUCCAGCCAUUCCGCGUGUGCGAUGAAGGCCUUCGGGUUGUAAAGCACUUUUGGCAGGAAAGAAAUCGCAUCAAUUAAUACUUGGUGUGGAUGACGGUACCUGCAGAAUAAGCACCGGCUAACUACGUGCCAGCAGCCGCGGUAA
rnacentral:rRNA from 1 species